ACUUGAGUUUGGUUCCAAGCACAGAUGGUAAGUGGCUCACAGCCGCAUGGAACCCCAGUCCCAGAAGAUCCGUGACCUCUGACCCCCAUGGGCACCUGUAGCCAUGUGUGUACAGGAACACACACACACCGGAAUCUAGUGGUGAGCAUUCCUCCCUGCCGAGCCCCUUACAAGACCCUGGUUGUCCUUUUGCAAGACCUCCUUCUGGAUUUGCGCACGUGUCUGGUUAAGGCAUGCUUUGGCUAUUGUUCUCGCCGAUGAAGAGAUGCACAGAGACCCACCAGAGGAGGUCUGGUGGAAAUGUGAUGGCCAUCAAGCCCUAACUCCGUUCCAGUUAGGAGUCCUUGCCAGGGAAAUGAAAGAGCUUGGUGGGAAUCGGGGCCCAGCACAUCCCUAGCCACCGUGCAGGCCAGCUGAAGAAUCAAGCAAUGUGAAGGAAGAGAAAUUUCUUCUCUGUGGCCACGUCGGGAAGAAGACCAAAGAGGUCCAGCAGUGUUCCAGGUUCCCUGCCCAAAGCCGUCGUUGGGGUUCUGACAUGAGGCUUAGGUUUGAAUAGAAGCCAGAAGGAUGCUGAGCGGUCUUGGGGCAGGUGCGGCCCUGCCCAUCACUGACCCAUCCUUAUCUCUGCCCCAGUCUCCAUUGCAAAGCUGUCUGACAAGUUGUCAGAACUGUGUAGGGUCACUUCCCAAGUGACAAGACCAUCUUCUGGCUGGCACCAGGCUCCAACCUUUCCCCUUUCCCAGCCAGAGAUUCCCAGGGAAAUUCCAGCUUCUUGGAGACCAUUGCUUCGUAGCCCAAGAGCCGGAUGGAGCAGUGCUGGAAUAUCUCAUAUCUUCGUCCCACCACGAUGGUGAUGAUACAGGGUUCUCUGCAGGCUCCCUUGUGGCUGGUAUAAAGCUAGCCGUGCGGGCGGCCAGGCUACUUACUCCUCACUACAGUCUUCAUUGGUGUGAGCCAGCCCCAGUGGUUUCUGUUCUGCCAACAUCCACAGCCUGGUGGCGGAAGCCAUUCAAGCUAUUACAGACCUGCAUAUCAGUGGGGUGGUGCCUUGGCUGAGAGUUCAGGCAAAAGAAGAGUGAUAUGGUUGUGUGUGUGGUGUGUGGAGGGCACAGGACUCCUUUGCGGACACCCUAAAGUGUAAGAGUUCAAGGCUAUGUGUAGUAGUGCAUGCCCUUAAUAUCAGCUCUUGGGAUGCAGAGAUAGGUGGAUAGAUCUCUGGGUGUGAGGUUGAGGCCAGCCUGGUCUACAUAGCAAGUUCCAGGGCAGCCACAGUUACACAGUGAUCUCUGUCUUUACAAAAAAUAAACAGAAGGUUAGGAGCACCUACGACCCCUUUCCCAAGUCCUGGUUUGAGUCCUGGCAGAUUCUCUGCUGUGAGCCCAUGUAUCUUUUCGUUUCUGAAGUUAGUGGGCACAGGACAGGUAGAGAGCUACCCAGGAAGCACAAUCCACUAUUGCACAGUCUAGUCGGCAGCUCAUGCCACCUGUUCAGCCCCCACAGCCUCUCCUUCAGCCCCCAGCUGCCUUUCUGCCCUCUCAGAGUCCAGAGUUGUCUGCACAGAGCUAAGUGUCUGCUCUUGAGUCUCCAGCUUCCAGGAUUCCUGUGGUCAAGACCCCAGCUGUUUUCGAUUGUCUCUGAAGUGUUUUGCUACUGGGAAGCCUCAAGUAACUCCACAGAGAGACAUAAAUGAAGGCAAUAACUUGGCCGUCAGAGGCUUUGCACAGCAUUUUCACCCCAGCACCUUGGCACACUGCAAGGCAGCACUCAGCCAAGACAGGGAGGGAGGGGAAUCUCCUGCUCUGUGUCUGCCUCAGGCGACUCUGUGCUCCACAACAGGGGCCAGUUGCAGAGGGGGUCAGGCCGGCCUCGAGCAUACAGCACAGACCUUGGGAGGAAGCCAAGAUGUCCCUGAGAAGCGCUGGAUCCCACACCCUAUUUCCUUUGACUCUACCUGGUCACAGGCAUGCAGAUAAAGGCAUCUGUCAGGAGCCAUUUCCCCCAAAAAAUAUUGCAGGAACCAUUGUCCUGGGGAGUUUGCAGAGAGCCCCACACCCCAAUGGUAUUAAGAACUGUUUGUUGGCAGAGCCUACCCCACACCCAACUAUCUUGAGAGCUAUCUGUUAGUGGAACCUGCCCCACAUUCCAACUA